GACGGAGGGUGCAAGCGUUUGUUCGGAAUUACUGGGCGUAAAGCGUACGUAGGCGGCGGAUUAAGUCGAAUGUUAAAGCCUGGGGCUCAACCCCAGAGAUGCAUUCGAUACUGGUCUGCUAGAGGGUGAUAGAGGAAAGCGGAAUUCCCAGUGUAGCGGUGAAAUGCGUAGAUAUUGGGAGGAACAUCAGUAGCGAAGGCGGCUUUCUGGGUCACACCUGACGCUGAGGUACGAAAGCGUGGGGAGCAAACAGG
rnacentral:rRNA from 1 species